AGAGUUUGAUCCUGGCUCAGGAUGAACGCUAGCGACAGGCCUAACACAUGCAAGUCGAGGGGCAGCGGAGAGGUAGCAAUACCUUUGCCGGCGACCGGCGCACGGGUGAGUAACACGUAUGCAAUCCACCUGUAACAGGGGGAUAACCCGGAGAAAUCCGGACUAAUACCCCAUAAUAUGGGCGCUCCGCAUGGAGAGCCCAUUAAAGAGAGCAAUUUUGGUUACAGACGAGCAUGCGCUCCAUUAGCCAGUUGGCGGGGUAACGGCCCACCAAGGCGACGAUGGAUAGGGGUUCUGAGAGGAAGGUCCCCCACAUUGGAACUGAGACACGGUCCAAACUCCUACGGGAGGCAGCAGUGAGGAAUAUUGGUCAAUGGGCGCAAGCCUGAACCAGCCAAGUCGCGUGAGGGAAUAAGGCCCUACGGGUCGUAAACCUCUUUUGUCGGGGAGCAAGAACAAGGACGUGUCCUUGUUUGGAGAGUACCCGAAGAAAAAGCAUCGGCUAACUCCGUGCCAGCAGCCGCGGUAAUACGGAGGAUGCGAGCGUUAUCCGGAUUUAUUGGGUUUAAAGGGUGCGUAGGCGGACUCUUAAGUCAGCGGUAAAAUUUCGGGGCUCAACCCCGUCUGGCCGUUGAAACUGGGAGCCUUGAGUGAGCGAGAAGUAAGCGGAAUGCGUGGUGUAGCGGUGAAAUGCAUAGAUAUCACGCAGAACUCCGAUUGCGAAGGCAGCUUACCGGCGCUCAACUGACGCUGAGGCACGAAAGUGCGGGGAUCGAACAGGAUUAGAUACCCUGGUAGUCCGCACAGUAAACGAUGAAUGCUAGCUGUCCGGGAGAAAUGACUCCUGGGUGGCACAGCGAAAGCGUUAAGCAUUCCACCUGGGGAGUACGCCGGCAACGGUGAAACUCAAAGGAAUUGACGGGGGC
rnacentral:rRNA from 1 species